rnacentral:tRNA from 1 species
CAGUAAGUAGUUUAUGUCAAAAUAUUAAUUUUGGGGAUUAAAGAUGAGUGUAAUUACUUUUUACUGA